GCAAACCCUACUGUCCUUUUUGGAUCAGUACCCUGAAGUCUAAUGAAAGACUUUGCACAAAGAGCGAGCUGCAUACAAAGUCACUGUUAAUACGUUGAAAUCUUUAAAUGAAGAGAGAAAAAAUAAAGUAUCCAGAGCCAUUUAUUCCAGCCUAAUUUAUCAUAGAGCAAUUUGGAUUGUUCCACUCUGAGAUAUGAACCCAGCUCCUCUUCCAUAUGUCAGAAAUGUCAGCAAAUAGUUUUACUGCUCCCCAUCUUCACUUAAGAGGUUCUAGCUACAGUUGUGCAGAAGAUCUUGAAGAGAGAUGGAAACACUUCUCAAAGAAUUGUUGUUCCAGAAGCUGCUACAAAUAUGCAUCUACAAAAAAAAAUAAACAACAGGAGUAAGGAGGCCUGAGAAUAUGAAUUACUACGAGAAGUGUGGGAGAAACUCUUAGAGAUAUGCAUUAUCAUAUUACUAUAGAGCUUAUCACAACCUGUAGCUACAACAAAACAGGUCUUUUCCAUCCCUAAGGAUGUCUGGUCAGCAAGGACCAACUCAGUUUCUGUUUGACUCUCAUUCUUCAGUUGUGUCGAAGUUGGCUUCCUCUUCUGUUACCAGACUUCAGUUCCAAGAUAGAGUAUUAUGUGUACUCUUUCUUUCAUUGUAUCAAAAUGCAUUUAUCUUGUGAAAUGAAUCUAAAGAAACCAAGCUAAAACUUUUGUCUGUAAGUCUUUCUUCUAUCACUUCUGUAAGGUUUGACUAACAGCUGACUAAUUCCUGCAGUUACAGUUGAUCUCAUUCUUACUUGAAUUAUCUCUUCACAGUAACAAUGGAGAAUGUUCUGGGUUAUCUUGCAAAAUCUGAUUGUAAAGUGGUUGUUGGGGAGGGUUUGAUUUCAAAAAAUAAAGUUGUGCAUCAGAUACUUACUAGUGUAUAU
ensembl:lncRNA